CCUGCAGGUCCUGGUAUUAACAUGAGUGUAUAACUGUCCUCAAGAAAAUGAUCCAGCAAGGAGUAGAGGUGAAGCUUCUUAUAAUGAUUCAUGUUACUAUUAUAACAUGCCUUUGGAUUCUGUUGUUGCGCGGGCGGUUGCAGGGACCUCGAUGGAGAUUUGCGUUUGCAAAGAAUCACCAAGGUCAAAAGCUUCCCAUUGCUCUUCUUCUGCUUGGAAAUUCAUGUCUCUCUUAGAUUCAUCAGCACAUACCCUCCCUCUCGUUACCAAAUUUACACCAGAAACUCCACAAUCUCCUGUGAUUUAUGUCGUUUACAGUUCUUCCAGUGCCAAUCCAUAUAACAGAGGAAUAUCAAAAUCAUAGCAACUCACUUGGUCUGGGUU